UGAUUCUUUUAAGAAUGAAUUUACCAAAUGACCAUGAAUUUUGUUAUUUUAAUGACAGCCUAAUUGAAUUCUACUUUGAGAAGUGGUUAUGUAGCAAGAUGACACUGCUAUAAAGUUGUUGUGAAGAUGAAACAAGUUUUUAUACAUGACACAGAGCAGUGGCUGGCAAAGGAUAGUGGGUGGUGACUUACUCUUUUUGUCAGCUGAGUAUCCAUCAUGAAGUUGUGCACGUGCUUUUCUGCUUUGACCAGCAGGUCUUCAGGCCAAUCAACUGUGAUAUACUGGGGAUGAAGAGUGAUGCAUUGUACAACUUCUAACUGUUCUACAUAUAUAACAGAUCACACUGAUACAUUAAGUGCUGAAGGUGGCCACUGCUGAGAUCCUCUGGAAGGAAAUCAAAAUCCUAACAGAAGUGGAAAAUCACUGGUGUCAAGAGCCUUUGGAAACCUUCAAUUUGUGUUUAUUUCUGGGCUCUAUUUUUCCUGCUGCUGGCCCAUUUCUUGCUGCAUGUUCUCUAGCUCACCCAAAUCUUGUGCAAUAAAAUGAGUACCUUCAUUGCAAACUGGAGAAACAAGUGAAUCUGACAAUUUAUUACAUUUAUCCCUCAUUCCAUGAUCCUAGAUGUAUCCUUUAAAUUGUACCUCAAGAGCCUCUGUAGUAAUUUAACCUUAUGAUUGUUCAAAUGCAACCUCCUUUAUUCCUUAUCUGCCUU